rnacentral:rRNA from 1 species
GACGAACGCUGGCGGCGUGCCUAGUACAUGCAAGUUGAGCGCUGAAGGUUGGUACUUGUACCAACUGGAUGAGCAGCGAACGGGUGAGUAACGCGUGGGGAAUCUGCCUUUGAGCGGGGGACAACAUUUGGAAACGAAUGCUAAUACCGCAUAAAAACUUUAAACACAAGUUUUAAGUUUGAAAGAUGCAAUUGCAUCACUCAAAGAUGAUCCCGCGUUGUAUUAGCUAGUUGGUGAGGUAAAGGCUCACCAAGGCGAUGAUACAUAGCCGACCUGAGAGGGUGAUCGGCCACAUUGGGACUGAGACACGGCCCAAACUCCUACGGGAGGCAGCAGUAGGGAAUCUUCGGCAAUGGACGAAAGUCUGACCGAGCAACGCCGCGUGAGUGAAGAAGGUUGUCGGAUCGUAAAACUCUGUUGGUAGAGAAGAACGUUGGUGAGAGUGGAAAGCUCAUCAAGUGACGGUAACUACCCAGAAAGGGACGGCUAACUACGUG